CAGUAGCCGCGGUAAUACGUAGGUGGCGAGCGUUGUCCGGAAUUAUUGGGCGUAGAGAGCUCGCAGGCGGUUUCUUAAGUCUGAUGUGAAAGCCCCCGGCUCAACCGGGGAGGGUCAUUGGAAACUGGGAAACUUGAGUGCAGAAGAGGAGAGUGGAAUUCCACGUGUAGCGGUGAAGUGCGUAGAGAUGUGGAGGAACACCAGUGGCGAAGGCGACUCUCUGGUCUGUAACUGACGCUGAGGAGCGAAAGCGUGGGGAGCGAACAGGAUUAGAGACCCCAGUAGUCCCUGUCUCUUAUAC
rnacentral:rRNA from 1 species